rnacentral:rRNA from 1 species
GAACCGCUGGCGGCAGGCCUAACACAUGCAAGUCGAACGGUAACAGGAAGCAGCUUGCUGCUUCGCUGACGAGUGGCGGACGGGUGAGUAAUGUCUGGGAAACUGCCUGAUGGAGGGGGAUAACUACUGGAAACGGUAGCUAAUACCGCAUAACGUCGCAAGACCAAAGAGGGGGACCUUCGGGCCUCUUGCCAUCAGAUGUGCCCAGAUGGGAUUAGCUAGUUGGUGGGGUAACGGCUCACCAAGGCGACGAUCCCUAGCUGGUCUGAGAGGAUGACCAGCCACACUGGAACUGAGACACGGUCCAGACUCCUACGGGAGGCAGCAGUGGGGAAUAUUGCACAAUGGGCGCAAGCCUGAUGCAGCCAUGCCGCGUGUAUGAAGAAGGCCUUCGGGUUGUAAAGUACUUUCAGCGGGGAGGAAGGUGUUGUGGUUAAUAACCGCAGCAAUUGACGUUACCCGCAGAAGAAGCACCGGCUAACUCCGUGCCAGCAGCCGC